ensembl:misc_RNA 7SK 7SK RNA
UGAUGUGAGGGCCAUCUGCCUGUGACACCCGUCACCACACUGAUCUCCAGCCUUGAGUCAGCCCAUGUGCCUGCCCAAGCCCAGGUCCCCUUCCUCACCCAGCGCUCCAUAUGCAUCCCUCCCAAUGCUGCUCGGUCACAGAGGACGACCUCCCCAAUACAGACAGUACAUUUUAUCACUCAAGGCCAUUUGGCAGCCGUGCUCUCUGCCACAACCUCCCAACCAGCCCAAGGCAUUAGGACUGCAUUUCUAGGGCUUUCCCUGUAGUCAUAAGAAAAAUUUUGGUAAAAUAAGACUGAAAU